rnacentral:rRNA from 1 species
GACGAACGCUGGCGGCGUGCUUAACACAUGCAAGUCGAACGGAAAGGCCCUGCUUUUGUGGGGUGCUCGAGUGGCGAACGGGUGAGUAACACGUGAGUAACCUGCCCUUGACUUUGGGAUAACUUCAGGAAACUGGGGCUAAUACCGGAUAUGAGCUCCUGCUGCAUGGUGGGGGUUGGAAAGUUUCGGCGGUUGGGGAUGGACUCGCGGCUUAUCAGCUUGUUGGUGGGGUAGUGGCUUACCAAGGCUUUGACGGGUAGCCGGCCUGAGAGGGUGACCGGCCACAUUGGGACUGAGGUACGGCCCAGACUCCUACGGGAGGCAGCAGUGGGGAAUAUUGCACAAUGGGCGGAAGCCUGAUGCAGCAACGCCGGGUGCGAGAUGACGGCCUUCGGGUUGUAAACCGCUUUCGCCUGUGACGAAGCGUGAGUGACGGUAAUGGGUAAAGAAGCACCGGCUAACUACGUG